ensembl:lncRNA
CAGCACGUGGGGUCACCAGGCAGCCCCGGGGCCCCGGCAGGACUCACCCAGACCUCGGCAUCCCACGCGGGUCUAGGUGCCCAACCUUCCUGGGCCUGGACAGACGAGGUAGGAAGCCAGCCCUCUGCCUGGGGGGCUGGGGUAGAGCAGGAGACCCCUCCCCGGCUCUCAGGGGCUGGGCCCACUCACCCCCUCUCAGAUCCCCAUCUGCCAACCGACUCUGGAGCUGGGGCAUCCGGCUGGUGCCCGUCAGGCAUGUUCCCUCCACCGGCUACAGAGAAGCGCUUUGCAGUCCACAGUUACCUUAAAUACGUGUACAUUAAGUCUCCACUCGAUUUCUAGAAAUCCACACACGCUUUAAAGGGUUGGAAACACUCUGGGAAGUCUCCAAAGACAGCUUCGGGAUCACCAACCCAGAAUAAGAAACAGCCAAAGUCACUUGGGGGUGCUUCCACGCCUCCCCCCACCCCCAGGAUUCCUGUGGCUGGAGCCAGGCUUCCCAUCGGAAGGGAGUUGUUGCUGUUGUCCAGUCGCUCAGUCGUGUACGACUCUUUGCGACCCCAUGGACUGCAGCAUGCUGGGCCUCCGUGUCCAUCACCAUCUCCUGGAGUUCGCCCAAGUUCAUGUCCAUUGAGUCGGUGAUGCCAUCCAAGCAUCUCAUCCUCUGCCGCCCUCUUGUCCUUCUGCCCUGGAUCUUCCCUGGCAGGAAGGGCGGACCCUCUGCUGAUCUGUGGGACCGGGACUGCGAUCCCUGCAGGCGAUUCUCCAAUCCUGUCCGCCUGGAAUUCCUUCCUUGGAGAAUUCUCAUCCUAAUCCACGUGACCUGUGGGACUGGAAGUCACCCCCGCCUCUCUCCAGUAUUGUGUUGACUACAUGAUAACCUGGAAAAAUAAAAUGACAGCAUCCACAGCGUUCACUCUGGAUCUGAUAUUUGACUUCAAAGAUGCCCGUUAACACCUUCACUCCGCCCUUAGCUUGAGCUACAGGCUUGGUGACCAGCAGGUGAAGAGCAGGAUGACUGGAAAGAGGUGGUCAGCAAGGUCUGAUGAGCAUGGAGCAAUAGGAGGGGGCAGGCAUUGAAAGCUGUGAGAACAGCCUGUAGAUACUAG